GGACCCGCACAAGCGGUGGAUGAUGUGGUUUAAUUCGAUGCAACGCGAAAAACCUUACCUACCCUUGACAUGUCUGGAAUCCUGUAGAGAUAUGGGAGUGCUCGCAAGAGAGCCAGAACACAGGUGCUGCAUGGCCGUCGUCAGCUCGUGUCGUGAGAUGUUGGGUUAAGUCCCGCAACGAGCGCAACCCUUGUCAUUAGUUGCUACGAAAGGGCACUCUAAUGAGACUGCCGGUGACAAACCGGAGGAAGGUGGGGAUGACGUCAGGUCCUCAUGGCCCUUAUGGGUAGGGCUACACACGUCAUACAAUGGCCGGGACAGAGGGCUGCCAACCCGCGAGGGGGAGCCAAUCCCAGAAACCCGGUCGUAGUCCGGAUCGUAGUCUGCAACUCGACUGCGUGAAGUCGGAAUCGCUAGUAAUCGCGGAUCAGCUUGCCGCGGUGAAUACGUUCCCGGGUCUU
rnacentral:rRNA from 1 species